rnacentral:rRNA from 1 species
UGGGGAAUCUUGCACAAUGGGCGAAAGCCUGAUGCAGCAACGCCGCGUGCGGGGAAGACAGCCCUAGGGUUGUAAACCGCUUUCAGCAGGGAAGAAACUGACGGUACCUGCAGAAGAAGAUGCGGCCAACUACGUGCCAGCAGCCGCGGUGACACGUAGGCAUCAAGCGUUAUCCGGAUUUAUUGGGCGUAAAGAGCUCGUAGGCGGUUCGGUAAGUCGGGUGUGAAAAUCCAAGGCUCAACCUUGGGACGCCACCCGAUACUGCUGUGACUCGAGUGCAGUAGGGGAGCAGGGAAUUCCUGGUGUAGCGGUGAAAUGCGCAGAUAUCAGGAGGAACACCAGUGGCGAAGGCGCUGCUCUGGGCUGUAACUGACGCUGAGGAGCGAAAGCAUGGGUAGCAAAACAGGAUUAGAUACCCUGGUAGUCCAUGCCGUAAACGUUGGGCACUAGGUGUGGGUCUCAACCAACGAGAUCCGCGCCGUCGCUAACGCAUUAAGUGCCCGCCUGGGAGUACGGUCGCAAGACUAAAACUCAAAUG